UUGUUUGAAAAAAAAAUGAAAAUAAAAACAGAAAGAUAAUGAGCACAAAUUUGUUUGCAAAACGUCCUUUAUUAAUGAUAAUCAUUUCAAAACAUGAUGUGACCCUACAAUGAACCACUACGCCCCGGGCAGAACGUAGGGUUUUUGUGCAGAAUGAAAAACAAAAGAAAAUGACUCUGUCUAAAGAGUAACUUGGACUAUUUCUUCGGCUGUCCAAUUAUUCACCAUCUCCCCUGGAGCACACAGGCGCACCCAGUUGUCCAUAUCAUAAUCACUGUC
rnacentral:lncRNA from 1 species